CCUCCCUUAGCUAAAAAUUAGGUCAUUCUCCCACCCAAAUCGCUCUCAGCCUCGUUCUCACUCAGCCUCGCUCUCACUCACCAUCAAUACCCCUCACCCUCAAUCCCGUUCACCCUUUCACCCUCGUCGAGCCUCUCAGCCUCUAUCUCACUCACUCUUGCUCUCACUCACACUCGAUACACUCUCAGUGGGCUGUCUCCGUCGAUCGAGACUCACCCUCGUUCUUCUUGGUUUAAAUCUUCUGGGUUUCAUAACUCAUCUUUGUUCUUAAAGACUUCACCUUUCUAUUUCUCUCCCUUCCAAUUCAAGACCUUUUUUAUUCUUCUUCACCUUGUCGCGCCACUGUUGCUCUGAAACUUUGAUGGGUUCUCUCUAAUUCCAACUCUUCUGGGGUCUUUCUGGAGCUGCUGAGCUUUUUGACUUGAGGGGGCUCAAAGUGACUUCAACCUCCGAUAUAGCAGACCCACUCAGGCAAAGAUUGAAGGGCAGAGAGAAGACGAUUCACACAGAUUUUAAGAUGACGAUGGCGGAGCUGAAUCUGCUAACCACCUGCACUUGUUAAUCCACAGAGGAGAGACUCUUCCUUCUUCCUCUCUCAACCCAAUUGCGUCUUCUACAGGCCAACUCGCUUCCAGAAACGAAUCCCCAAUUUGAGGUUAUUUCUGGGGUUUUGAUCUAAUUUUCUUCACAAUUAUACUUGAAUAUGCAAUUCGAUUGCCUUUUCCUUGCUAUGUGUUUGUAUGCAAAUGUUAAGUUUUCAACGGCAUGAGAAUUGAAGAGACCGUACAUUCAAUGUACAAUUUGGAAUACAAGUAAUUGAAAGAUAAUGAGAUAAUGUAGUUUUGUGUUAGGUAGGUGAUGAUUGACACUUCAUGAACAUAGAGAGGAGAAUUUGGCAGCUUAAUGUAGAUUGUUAUUGGUGUAAAAAUUGUUAGCUUAAUUUUUUCUCCAGCAAUUAUUACUCAAAGAUCAAAUGUGUUUAUAUCUCAUACCAUCAGGCGGUGCAUUUAUUGAAAAUUUGUGAUCAUUAGCUGAAUUGCAAUUUCAAUAAAUAAGCAUGGGCUUUCCAACUCUCAACAAUUGUGGCAUUGGAGAUAGAAUAUGAGGAGUAUGUCUUGUUUGCUGGUAUUAAUUUGUGGCUAUUUUCAAUUUUCUUGCUGAUUUGUAAAGUAAUAAGAUAGCUGUAAGCAUUAUCUGAAGGAGCUAGGACAUUUUGAAUUGAAUUUUGCUUUGUGAAAAUCAUGGGAAUGGUCUCAAAACUUAUGAUUAACAGAUAGUUGCUGCUCUUUAGUCCAACUAGUAGUACUAUCGUUACUCUCUAUCCAUGUUUGGCUUUCUGUUUUGCUUUGGGUUUAUGCUUUAGUUUGUUCGUUUCGUUUUACUUUUCCUUCAGUGUGGUUCUUAACUCAGGCGUGUACUGAUUGUAAAUUGCUUUCCUU